rnacentral:rRNA from 2 species
UGGGGAAUAUUGCACAAUGGGCGAAAGCCUGAUGCAGCGACGCCGCGUGAGGGAUGACGGCCUUUGGGUUGUAAACCUCUUUCAGCAGGGAAGAAGCGCAAGUGACGGUACCUGCAGAAGAAGCACCGGCUAACUACGUGCCAGCAGCCGCGGUAAUACGUAGGGUGCGAGCGUUGUCCGGAAUUAUUGGGCGUAAAGAGCUUGUAGGCGGUCUGUCGCGUCUGCUGUGAAAAUCCGGGGCUCAACCCCGGACUUGCAGUGGGUACGGGCAGACUAGAGUGUGGUAGGGGAGACUGGAAUUCCUGGUGUAGCGGUGAAAUGCGCAGAUAUCAGGAGGAACACCGAUGGCGAAGGCAGGUCUCUGGGCCAUAACUGACGCUGAGAAGCGAAAGCAUGGGGAGCGAACAGG